GGAGUCGUCAACCAGGCUUUGAUCCGGGGGGUUUCCGAAUGGGGGAAACCCCGGCAGUCGUCAUGGGCUGUCACCCGCUGCUGAACACAUAGGCAGUGUGGAGGGAACGCGGGGAAGUGAAACAUCUCAGUACCCGCAGGAAGAGAAAACAACCGUGAUUCCGGGAGUAGUGGCGAGCGAAACCGGAUGAGGCCAAACCGUAUGCGUGUGACGACCCGGCGAGGGGUUGCGUAGUACGGGGUUGUGGGAUC
rnacentral:ncRNA from 1 species